UGGCAGACGGGUGAGUAACAUGUAGGUAUCUGCCCUUUGGCCUGGAAUAACACGAGGAAACUUGUGCUAAUACCGGAUAAGUCUUUACGGAGAAAGCUUUAUGCACCAUUGGAUGAGCCUGCACUUGAUUAGUUUGUUGGUGGGGUAAUGGCCUACCAAGACUGUGAUCAAUAGCUGAUUUGAGAGGAUGAUCAGCCACAUUGGGACUGAGACACGGCCCAAACUCCUACGGGAGGCAGCAGUGGGGAAUCUUGCACAAUGGAGGAAACUCUGAUGCAGCGAUGCCGCGUGAGUGAAGAAGGCCCUUGGGUUGUAAAGCUCUUUCGUCGGGGAAGAAAAUGACUGUACCCGAAUAAGAAGGUCCGGCUAACUUCGUGCCAGCAGCCGCGGUAAUACGAAGGGACCUAGCGUAGUUCGGAAUUACUGGGCUUAAAGAGUUCGUAGGUGGUUGAAAAAGUUAGUGGUGAAAUCCCAGAGCUUAACUCUGGAACUGCCAU
rnacentral:rRNA from 1 species